rnacentral:sRNA from 1 species
UUUUCUUAUCAUUGUGAAAACGUCAGGCUUUUAUAAAUAUAUUCCCGAAAAAAAAAGUGUUUUUAUAUAAAUUUUAUUUUGUGUGGUGAUAAGCUCCGGAGCUCUAAAGUGAUAUUGAGUGCAACGAUAUAUAAAUAUUGGAACACAUUCCAUACCGGCACAUAUACAUAUCAUAAAAUAUUCAACGUAUAUACACAUAAAUAUUUAACGAAGGAAUUAUUGUUGUUUUUUUUUAAUUAUUUGGGAUUAAUACAACAGCUUUCGGAUUUGGAUUUUGAAACAUAAUUUGAAUAAGGGUAAGUCACACACAGUUCUUUGUGAGUUGACAUUAAGAGCUGGGUGCUAUUCAUUACGGUUAUUACGUAAGUACGAUGGUAUUAAAUGCUAUGGUUCGGUGAUUUUCUUGGAUUUUUUAUUUCAAUUUGAAAAAAAUGUGCUUAGGUUUGCAAGGUAAAGUUCUGAGCAGAAAAAAAAUAAUAAUAAAAAAUAAAAUAAAUAAAAAAUAAAAAAAAAACAAAAAUAGGUAAAAAAAGAAAAUAAAUAAAAAUAAACUUAUAAAAAUUACGGUCUACAUUCAAUUCCAAUAAAGGUGUGUAAAAAAAAACAAAAAAUGAAAUCGGAAAAGAACUGAGGCAUGGUCGAAUAUAAAUUGGGGGACAUUUAAAAAAUAAUAAACUAACAAAUGUAAAUUACUUAAUAAAUAAAAUAAAUUAAUUUCAACUUAUAAAAAAAUAAACUUUGCCAGUAAUAUAUCUGUAUGGAAAGGAAUAUAUUUUUUGAGACAUAAAACUCUAUCCCACACAUAUGUCCCUUCCCCUCUCUUCAGGCAUUUUUUUGUGUGUUUUCACAUAUCCUCCUCUUUUUCACUCAAAGCCCUCAACAAUAUAUUAUUACCAAAACGCUACCACUUGCCAGACACAAAAGCAGAAAAGACCCCUCCCCUCCCCAUAACACAAUUGCAAAAAAAAAAUAAUACCUACUUACCGAGACCAUUGUUCAUCACCAUCGAAUGUAAUUCCAAACCCAUUGUCACAAUGAAUUUGGAGAAAAAAGAAAUAAAUACCGGCAGAAAAAAAAACAUAGCUAAAGUCGAAUUGUUUUGCUGUUUUGUCGUUUUCUUAGCUUUCAAGUAAAUUAAAUAAAGACUUCAUUUGCACAAUAUAAACCUUGACUUAAUUUUUACACCGAACAAAUAAUGAGCAGCACAAUGGCAAACAAUACAAUAGGCGUAAAUUGUAAUUUGAUGAACAUGAAAUGUGUAACAGAAUACCGGCUAGAUUGAGUAAGCCGAGAGACA